rnacentral:rRNA from 1 species
GACAGAGGGGGCAAGCGUUGCUCGGAAUCACUGGGCGUAAAGGGCGCGUAGGCGGGAUGGCAAGUCAGUCGUGAAAUCUCUCGGCUCAACCGAGAAACGUCGGCUGAUACUGCCGUGCUUGAGGGAUGCAGAGGAGACUGGAAUUCCCGGUGUAGUGGUGAAAUGCGUAGAUAUCGGGAGGAACACCAGUGGCGAAGGCGACUUCCUGGCCUGUUCUUGACGCUGAGGCGCGAAAGCUAGGGGAGCAAACGGG